rnacentral:rRNA from 1 species
UACGUAGGGUGCGAGCGUUAAUCGGAAUUACUGGGCGUAAAGCGUGCGCAGGCGGUUCGUUGUGUCGGCGGUGAAAGCCCCGGGCUUAACCUGGGAAUGGCCGUUGAAACUGGCGAACUGGAGUGUGGCAGAGGGGGGUGGAAUUCCACGUGUAGCAGUGAAAUGCGUAGAUAUGUGGAGGAACACCGAUGGCGAAGGCAGCCCCCUGGGCUAGUACUGACGCUCAUGCACAAAAGCGUGGGGAGCAAACAGG